CAUCAUUAGAGAGGUCUUGCAUAAAACUGUCACCAAAGAACAGACCAUCGGCUUCUGGUCCCAAUUCUUUGGAUCCCAAAUCAACUAGUUUGGCAUCGAUUUUGUAAAGUGCCGCCUUUCGUCUUUUAGUAGAGAUUGCCACAUUGGCAUUGACUAGUAGGCAUAAAGCUCUCUGAGAAUGGUAGUGGAUUCAGCGCAUAGUGUCUCAACGGAAU